GAUGAACGCUAGCGGCAGGCUUAAUACAUGCAAGUCGUGGGGCAGCAGGGGUAGCAAUACCCGCUGGCGACCGGCAAACGGGUGCGGAACACGUACGCAACCUUCCUUUAACUGGAGAAUAGCCCCUCGAAAGAGGGAUUAAUACUCCGUAACAUAUUGAUAAGGCAUCUUAUUAAUAUUAUAGCUCCGGCGGUUAAAGAUGGGCGUGCGACUGAUUAGAUAGUUGGCGGGGUAACGGCCCACCAAGUCUGCGAUCAGUAACUGGUGUGAGAGGAUGGCCAGCCACAUUGGGACUGAGAGACGGCCCAGACUCCUACGGGAGGCAGCAGUGGGGAAUCUUGCGCAAUGGCCGAAAGGCUGACGCAGCGACGCCGCGUGGGGGA
rnacentral:rRNA from 1 species